UCUACCUUCUAUUCAUUUUUAACUUCCUCGCGAGCGUCCUCUAUCGGGAAUAAAACCCGGAUGAAUGUGAAAAAAACGCCACAGCAACAGCAACCCGGAAGUCAGAGUUCUGAUGUAGUUCUCACAUAUUUUCACUAGAGGGCGAAAGCUUCGUUUGCAAAACGGUCGCCAUGGAAACGCAAAGCGCUUCGUGAACCGUCGCUUUUGUCCAAUGGGAGCCGCUCUCAUUCAGUGACGUUACGAGCGCGCUCUUCUAGCAGUGACACGCCGCUUGUGCGGGCUCUGCAAAGAGAAAGUGGAGAGGAAGCGCGUGCACGGGUGCUGUAAGGUGAGCUACGAGGAUGUGCAACAGCAAUGAAUCUCCUAGGCCAAGACAAGGACAAGUCGUCACUUGAAUCUCACUUUUAAAACCGCUGUUUAAUCAAGAUGACUGACGAUUAAAGGAGUUUAUUUUGGUGUUGGAUAUGAUGGAGGUAGGACCAGAAACCUGCCAGAACUUCAACAGCCGUCAGCAGCAGCAGAGACGAGCUGCGACUCACACUCUGGAAGAGCAAAAAAAAGAAUAUUUAAGCAGCUCUCCCAUCUGUUCUUGCAUUGGAGUGCCUGUUCUUAUGGACUGUGUUCCUCCAUACCCCGUUGUACCUAACAGCUGGGAGGGCAGCAAUCGGCCGAGCUUUGAUGAAGCCUUGCUCCGUGGUGGCUGUCACACUGAUUAGCUAAUUUGCCGUGAUAAAUGAGGCCGAUUGGGCCUAACGAAUCGCCGGGUGUUGGAAAGGCUUUGCAUGCACGGGGACCUGAGUAUCCAGAGCUUGCAGACCGUGACACCAGCAACCUCGGACCUAAUCCCUGCUAGCAACCCCCUACUGAGGGAUCAAUUUGCAUUAAAUAAGUGCUGGAUCACUGACGACCUAUGGUAUGGUACGUUUAUAUGGUUGGUGCAAUACCCGUGCAAUUAAAGGAAAAAAAAAUUACAUUUACGUACUGUACAUUUCUGUGUCCAUAUAGACUCAAUGUAGUUGUUCAGCCCAAAUUCAUUAAUUCCUAGGCUUAUCUCACUCCUAAAGCUUUUCUCUAAAUAUUAACCACAGUACUGCUUUCUAUAAUUGAAC